AGCGAACGCUGGCGGCAGGCCUAACACAUGCAAGUCGAACGAACUCUUCGGAGUUAGUGGCGGACGGGUGAGUAACACGUGGGAACGUGCCUUUUGGUUCGGAAUAACUCAGGGAAACUUGUGCUAAUACCGAAUGUGCCCUUCGGGGGAAAAAUUUAUCGCCAUUAGAGCGGCCCGCGUCUGAUUAGCUAGUUGGUGAGGUAACGGCUCACCAAGGCGACGAUCAGUAGCUGGUCUGAGAGGAUGACCAGCCACACUGGGACUGAGACACGGCCCAGACUCCUACGGGAGGCAGCAGUGGGGAAUCUUGCGCAAUGGGCGAAAGCCUGACGCAGCCAUGCCGCGUGAAUGAUGAAGGUCUUAGGAUUGUAAAAUUCUUUCACCGGGGACGAUAAUGACGGUACCCGGAGAAGAAGCCCCGGCUAACUUCGUG
rnacentral:rRNA from 1 species